UCCCGAUAAGGAACGCGAUACAAUAAAUAAAAAAAGGAGUGAAGCGGUGUACAAUGUAGAAUAAUGUAAAAUAUUGUUUUAUUUGUACAUUAAGUAAGAGGCUUAUAAGGAGGUGUUUGUAAUAUAUUUUCAUAGCAAUAAUGACUACUGAAGUAGAAGAAAGUUGUUUUGUUUGCUCAAAAACCGGCGGCAACUUGAACAUCUUCUCCACUUAUAGCAUCUGCGAAAACAAAGAGGAGUUGUACGUUGAAGUCAUCAAAAACUGUUUCAGCAUUGAGAUUGGGCAGGACUCAGGUCUCAAUGCGUUGUGCACUGAUUGUAGCAUUAAGCUCCGACAAGCAUAUUCAUUUAAAACUGAAAUAGUACAAGCUGUGAACAAACUGGUGGUUUUACAAGAUAUUGCACAGGAACCCGAAUAUGUCAAAUAUUUGGAGCAUACAUUUGAAAAUGACUACAACAUCAAUUCUGUUCUCAACCCGGAAACCGGACAAAUAUCUUACACUUUAGAUAAAAUAGAAGAAAUUAAACCAACUAAUGAACAAGACACAUACAUGAUUGAUUUAGAAAAUGAUGCCAUAAUCCCUAAGACAGAGGCAGAUAAGAAAGUUAAAAAAACUAAAAGGAAAAAUGUUGUUAAAGAGAACUUACCAAAUAAUAAAAAUAAAAAAGCGAAACAGAAUAAUGUUGAGAUUAAAAAGCAAAGCUGAGUAAGGCUAGGAAAAAGAAAGAAACUGAAGAUAUUUCAGCUAUUGAUACUGAGAAAGCUAAUGAUGUAGAUAUUGUCCAAAAUGAAGCGGAGAAACCUAAAAAAAUUAUUACAAUUGAAGGGAAUUUGGUGAAUGCACCUGAUGAAGAGAAAAAAAGUAAGAAGCCAAAGAAAGGAAAAAAUGCCAAAUCGUCCCCAUUUACCCUCGAGCCCGGGCAGACCAAAUGCACCAUCUGCAACACACAGUUUGAGACCACAAGGCUCUCCGGAACCACAUGAACGCUCACUACCCGGACCAUGUUUGUGGGGAGUGCGGCAUGGUCUUCGCAAGCCAGGAGAGGCUUCGCUCCCAUGUGUACCAGAUUCAUAAUGCUGAUGACUCGCCGACUUGCAAGUAUUGCGACAAGGUUUUCACCAAUGUGAACACCCGAAACGCUCACAUGUGGCGUACCCACACCAAACCGGACCCGUUCAAGUGUGCGCAGUGCGGCGAGCGGUUCAAGACCUACCUCAAACGGCUUCGGCACAUGCAGUCUGAACACGGAGAGGUCACAGAGUAUCCAUGCCAUUACUGUGACAAGAAGUUCGCGUAUGCUGGUAAGUAUGCAACCCUGGUACUCGCGGGACAAAUUGGCUGGUAGUUUCUUUAUUUUUAAGUCAUAAAUGG